ensembl:lncRNA
AGGAAGAUGUUUUCCUAUUCUUGAUUGAUAUAGGAUUUCAGCUGCUAAAGAGUUCAGUGUCUCCUAUGUCGUGUUUUUAGUUUCAUAAUGCGCCAAAUGUUUUCAAUGGGUGACAGGUCUGGACUGCAGGCAGACCAGUUAAUUAAGCACCCGGACACUUUUACUACUGAGCCAUGCUGUUGUAAUAUGUACAGAAUGUGGUGUCGCAUUGUCUUGCUGAAAUAAGCAAGGUCUUCUUUUCCACUUCACGUCAAUCCAUUUUAAAUGAGCUUGGGCCCAAUGAAGGCGACAGUGUUUCUGGAUCUUGUUUAUAUAUGCUUUUUUUCUUUGCAUUUUUUUUAUGUUGCUGUCUUUUGUUUGCAUUGCAAAUGUUGUUGUGUUGUGCACCCGUGGGCCACCGUAGUUCACCACUCUGUGAAAGACUGCGCAGGCAAAUAGUGCAACAACUUAAGAAUAACGUUUCUCAACCUAAAAUUGCAAAGAGUUUGGGGAUCUCAUCAUCUACAACACAAAACAUCAUUAAAAGAGAAAUCUCUGUACACGAAAACCAAUAUUGGAUGGCUGUGAUCUUUGGGCCCUAAAGUGUCAUUAAAAACAGACAUAAUUCUGUAGUGGACAACACUGCAUGGGCUCAGAAACACAUCCAAAAUCCAUUGUCUGUGAGCAUACUGUAGUAUGUCGCUGCAUCCACAAAUGCAAAUUAGAACUUUUUAAAAACAUGCAAAGAAAAAAACAUAUAUAAACAAGAUCCAGAAACACCGUCGCGUUCUCUGGGCCCAAGCUCAUUUAAGAUGGACUGAGGUGAUGUGGAAAACUACAACAGAACACAACCGCAUCAGCCCAAAACCCACCAACAUUUGCAGAAAUGCAGCAUUUCAAAUUACUCACAAUUGAAGUGCUCCAGACCACUAGGUGACCGAACCCCCCUGCCCCUACAUAGGAAGACGAACAAAGCGAGAAAUGUUCGCUAACAAUGAUGGACUGUGCAGUUUCUGAUCCAAUCUAGACGCAUGAUUACUGUGCAGGCCAGAAUUCCGCAGCCCUGGAUAUGGCCUUAAUAUUGGUGAAUUAGGAGCAAGCAGG